CCUCACUUUUACUAUACUGGUCUCUCAACAUAUUUAAUAAAUAAUGAAAGUUACAUCGAGAGUAGAAAAGAGCCUAAGCUAACCAAUGAAAUCAGAAAAUGAAAAAACAAGGACAAUAAAACCAAUGAGUUCGGAAGGUGGCUCAGUGGAGACUCCAUUUCCUUUUUCUCCUUUAGUUACUUGCAUAACUUAUUGCUGUUAUUCUCCACUUUUCUGAUUUCUCGAAUAGACUAUGUUCCUUACAUUGCCAUAGGCAUUUUUUUCCAUAAAUUUCAAGAUCUUUUCUAAUAUCUUUAUUUUCAUCAUACCUGCGUCUACAUUUUUCUCAUAAAGGAGCAUAAUUUGUCAUGAUUCUGUGAAGCUAUUAUCCCCAUUUGACAGCUGACGAAGUCCGUAUCGGAUUUUCCCAUGGCCACAGAGGAGACUUAUUCUGUAAUACCCUUAGUGCAUUUUCCCCUCAAUAGCCAAAAUGAUUUUUUAAAAAUAUGUGUCAGAACAUAUGAGCUUUCUUUUUAAAAUAUUCCAAUAGCGUUCUGCAUAUUUAACAUAAAAUCCAGACACUUUCCACACAUUUAAGGCCGUGUUAGGAUCUCGUCUUGGAAACUCCUUCAAUCUCAUCUCUUACUCCUGUCCCCAUUGUACAUUAUACUUUGGCUACUGUGUCUUCUUUCAAUUGAUAAAAAAAGAAAAGUCUAUUUUUACCCCCAACUCUUGCCCUUAUCUUUUCUCUGCGUGGAAUGCUGUCCUCAGAUUUCCAUAGAACUGCUUCUUCUCAUCAUGUAAGUCUCAGACCAAAUAUUUCCUCUUCCAGGAUUUCUUCUAGAUUGCCUCAUCCAAUGUCAACAGAUUCCCUAGAAAUAUGUGGAUCAAGAGUAGGAAAGAGCUCAGUUCUUGCCAUAUUGGCAAUCAGAAUAUGGAUUUUUCCAAGAAGAUUUUCCAGCUGAACAGUGUCAGCUUAAGGCCUUGCAGAAACCCUUUCUUGCUGUCACUCAUUUCCCAUCCUAUGAAAUAACUCCAAUUGCACUAGAACGUCACCCAGAUGGACGGCUUCUUCCAUACUCUGGAUUAUGGAAAAAAGAGAUGUUUCUGCUCAGGUGAGUGAAGGCACAUUAAGAUUAAUCCAACUUUCUUCCUUUAAACCUCAAUCUUCUACACUAUACUCAACUAAAAGAAUAUAGGUAGAAUUGAUCAUUGCCAUUAGUUCUAUUAAUUUUUCCUACCUGUGACCAAGC
rnacentral:lncRNA from 1 species